rnacentral:rRNA from 1 species
CCUACGGGAGGCAGCAGUAGGGAAUCUUCCACAAUGGACGAGAGUCUGAUGGAGCAACGCCGCGUGAGUGAAGACGGCUUUCUGCUCGUAAAGCUCUGUUUGUAGGGAAGAAAGAUAUUGGAAGUGACUGACCUUUCUUGUACGAUAAUUACUUGGAAAGUCUAGCCUAACGACGUGCGAGCAGCCGCGGUGAUACGUAGGUGGCAAGCGUUGUCCGGAUUUAUUGGGAGUAAAGCGAGUGGAGGCGGUUAAAUAGGUCUGAUGUGAAAGCCUGCGGCUCAACCGUAGAAUUGCAGCAGAAACUGUCGAACUUGAGUGCAGAAGAGGAGAGUGGAACUCCAGGUGUAGCGGUGGAAUGCGUAGAUAUAUGGAAGAACACCAGUGGCGAAGGCGGCUCUCUGGGCUGCAACUGACGCUGAGGCUCGAAAGUAUGGGUAGCGAACAGGAUUAGAUACCCGGGUAGUC